CAAAGCCAGCUGUUUUUAAGUUCCAUUAGGAGCCAGUAUUAAAAUAAAAGUAAAUAUUAAGUCUGAACUUACUUCUAUUUUACAAAUAUUGUCAUUGAUUUUUAAAAAUACUUUGCCUGAUUUAUCUUUUCAAUUUCAACUUCUUCAACUUGAUUGUAAAAUAUUUUUUCUUCUCAUUUUGUGUGUCAAAUAGAACGUGUUUCUCCCCGGAAAUAAGAUUCUUUGAGCUACCCUCAUGACUUCAGCUACCACAUCUUCCUUUCGAAGACUCCAAAAUAUCCUAAAGAAGUGUUGGGGUGGAAAGAGGAUGGAGAAUAGUGCUCCACCAUGCAGACGUUCUAAUCUCGAUGACCCAGAGUAAGGGAGACCAGCAAUCGCCUGAAGAUAACCAAAUGCCACACAGCUUUUGAGAGAGAAUUGUCAGCUUCUCUAUCACUUGAAGAUAUGACAUGGGAUUAUAAGAUUUAUCAUGAAGAGAUAUUUUUACAAGUAGUUUUUUUAAUGAAGCUCUACUUUUCAUUCCAUUCUUCUCUUCUUCCUCAGAAAGAAAGACAAAAAACAAACAUUUCCUAGCCAUACUACAAUCUCCACAUCUGGUCUUAGAUUGACAGAACUGAAUCUCUACGACAUAACGUUGUCAUGUGGAUCACAUGGGCCUCCAGCCCUCCCAGGUUUAGGCUGCAGACAAGUAGUUAAUGAACAGGUCAAGUGCCUGGAGCACCCUUCUAAGACUGCAUUCAGUCAUUACCAAGGUGAGCAUUUUUAUGCAUCCAUUGAUUCAUCAACUCUGAAUAUUAAAUACCCAGCACUCCCUCUUCUCCUGACCUUUUUUGUGCUUACUGUCUACAGAGUCUUGGUUGUGUUCACUGUCUCUAUGUUCUAUGCCUCCUUGUUGUCUGAAAUCCUGACCAGUCAAGCAGGAUUCAUAUAUCACCUGACCACUUGUCAUCUCCACUUGAAUUUCUCACCAACAUCUCAAACAAAACAUGUCUCAAAGUUAGAUCAUAGUCAUCUCCUUCCCUGCAAAAACUAUUUUGCUCCAGUGACUCUAGGUCAGUUGAAAGCACCACUACUCAUCUAAGUGUUUAAUCCAAAAGUCUAAUUCAUCCUUACCUCCUCUCUUUUCCUCAUCCCAUACACAAUCAAACACCCAGGUCUGUUGUUUACGUUUUCCUUCUAUUGCCAGAACAUGUUUCCUUCUUUCUCUUCUCAUUACUAAAAGCUAUUACUGAAAUAAUGUUUUAAAAAAGUACAUACACUGUUUCUUAAAAUCAUUUGCUUAGGGAACCCUGGGUGGCACAGCGGUUUGGCGCCUGCCUUUGGCCCAGGGUGCGGUCCUGGAGACGUGGGAUCGAAUCCCAUGUCGGGCUCCUGGUGCAUGGAGCCUGCUUCUCCCUCUGCCUGUGUCUCUGCCUCUCUCUCUGUGUGUGACUAUCAUAAAUAAAUUUUAAAAAAAUAAAAAAAAUCA
rnacentral:lncRNA from 1 species